GAUUUACGGUGGGACGGCUUUUCUGUCGAGAUUACGUUUCCGGCGUUGUCUCCUGCAGUGGGCUUAAUAUUAGCGACGCCUCUGAAAACUGCUUUAAUUAGCUACUAUAUUGCGUAGGCCAUCAUGAAACUUUACAAAAGUACCGUCAGGAAGAGAUGAUUGGGAAGACGAAUCGUAAAAACUAGUCAGUCGUGAAAGUUUAUUCACGGAUGCAUUCCAUGGCUUGAAGGGGUCCCCAGUGCGAGGGAAAGUUGCCGUCAACCGCCAUGACUUGGCUUACUCGCCUUGGCAUUGAGAGCGCCGCCACUAUAACUUCGGACUUCCGCGCAGCGCUUUCCACCCUGUAACUUAUAGCGCCGGCGCGAGAGAACGCGGGUCACCGUAGGCGCCGUUGCGGCUACUUGCGUGAUGUUGCCUGAUAUCGAGCAGUGGUGGAUACCGACGACAUCCACUAAUAUGAAAGAUAAGGUGAAGGUAAGCAAAUCAAGAAUCAGGAACGGGUCUUCGCUCCUUCUCAGUGCCCCGGUUUGAUGCCCCGCGGCAGUCCGCUACUGUGCUAUACAGCACCAUGUGCUAGACUACCAGCAAUGCACGGUCCCCUUCGUGGCGACCGUCAGCAGCAGAGCAACCGAACGAUGCAAGCACUAGAAAUUUAUCAGUCGUGAUCAGUCCACGCGUGAGAGUGAGUGCGAAGUUCGGCGUCACUCGGGGCACUCUCGUCGCCAGCGCGCAGAGCGAGUUAGCAUCGCCAUGGCGUGGCCCGGCAGCCGCUCCGGUCACCCUGAGCUAUGCUUCCAGCCACCAUACCUGAGCCGUGGUCCGCUUAUUUUUGGCCGUCAGUACCUACAAAGAAACCCGUGAGUUUUCUUUCAAAAGAACGCGUCGCAGUGAUAGAACAGCAUUCUUUCUGGUUUGGAAGUACAACAUGUCGCCGUGUUUCCCAGGCUCGCAUGCAUGGCUACGCAGGCCGAAUGUAUUUUUACCGCUUUCGCCGCUCAAUUACCGCUGCAACCUUUUUGUCAAUGAAGGGUCUGGCUUGCACAAUACUGGUAGUAAAUUUUUCUUCAGUAAUUUCAGUUGUGGAUGGUGCGGGAGUCGUCACGACUUCUCGAAAACCUUAGUGGGCGUUCGUCCAAUAAGAGCGUGGCUGAGGGCAUAAAGAAACGUUGGUCUGCUCCGGGCCGUCAGAUGCCAAACAUGAAUCGUGUACCCAAGAUAGACGUGCGCUCUCUGCAGCAGCGUGCAAUGAAUACAGUCGAUGACCCGACCGUCGAUUUUCGGCGAGCCUGUUCUGUUAACUCCGAGGGUGUGCCUGGAUUGGACCAGCCUGGGGAGCCACAAGCCUCUUGUGACGCUGACAAGAGCUCCGAUGAAAAGAGCUGUGGUGACGUGAGCUCUAGGAGUGUGCUCCUUCCAGAGUCACCAGAUUUGUCGGCAAAGGAAUUGGAUGCCAUCCUAGAUUCUCAGGAGUAUGUCGAAUAGUCAAGCGGCGUCGCCGCUACUACCGACCAAGGAGAGCCUCGAUGCCCAACGACUAAGUUGAGCGAAGACUACCCUAGAGACUCCCGGUUGGCCGACUUCUCCGAAGGAUCAGCUGACUGGCACCACUACAACGUAGCGUGGACACUGCUACAUUGCCGAACACCGCACAAAGGGAAUGUGACCCGCCGCCGAUGGCUCAGUACGCGGAACGUCCAUGGCGGGCUCGUCCCCGUAGAGCUCGAUGCAGAGCGCUGCGUACAAAUCCUAUGCGCUGGCAGCCAUCAAAUAUGCUGGAAGUUUGUCUCCUACAACAACAGAAUCACGACACCCAAAUGCGAAUGGGUGUGUAGAAUACUGCUGCUGCUGGAAGAGCGCCUCGAUGAAAUCACCUUCUCCAACAAAGUGUUCCCGAGACAGCAACGUCGGCACCCUUGAGCAAUAUAAGCUCAACUCCAAUUCAGCUCCAACGUUGCCUCUUGGACAUUGGCUGCGCCAGAGCUCCGACGACUUCUCCUGACAAAGUCUACAUGUACCUGAGUUUGACCAAAGUAAUGCUGUAUAUUCUGGCAAAUAAAAGAAU